rnacentral:lncRNA from 1 species
UCUUCCUUGCAGUGCUAGGUAUACACUUUGCCGGGAACAUGCUUGAUCUUGGGGCGGCAGAGUUCUUUGAGAGGGUGGAUCGCAGCCCUACGAUCCCUAGCCCAAGGGAACUCUGGUGUGACAUACUCUGAAUUCAGCAUCCUCAACAGCGUUUGAUCCUCUUCGUUAUGGGCCGAUCGAUGCAGCGACACACCUCGGCAACAAGAACUUUGGUGUGGUUCAGGCGAUGUACAGGAGUUAGGGGGACGAGAGAGACGUUUGUGGUGGAUGUGGGGUUUGAGAGAGAGAAGGCCUAUGGGGAGUAAAGGGAGGAGAGAGAGGGACUUAGAGAUCCACUUCUCUUGGCUCAAAAGGUGGGGAGUCUUCACUUCUAGGCCUUCUCCUCUCUAUGUUUGAGAGCAAAGGAGGUUGGGUGUAUAGAUAUUUCAGGGGGAAGAUAUAU